AGUCCUGACUUCCUCUGGUGAUCAACAGCAAUGUGGAAGUAUGACAAAUCAUCACUGUGGAGUAGCCCCUGAAGCCUUUCCCAACUGCCAGUGGUCACUAGACAUGCUGUAUUUAUAUAUUUUUGCAAAGCUGCCCUUACAAACCCACAAGGAAGGGAUGAAGUGGACAGACAACAUGAGCAGUGGCUAAGAGAGAAAGAAACAAAAUGUAUCUCAAGAAACAAGCCAGAUUGACACCGGCUGGCUCCUCACUACUUCAAGGGAGCUGUGGACACGUCCUGUGUCAGUCUGUGGAUAGUAGGAGCCAUUGCUGUUUCACUCUCAUGCUUACAGCCUCUUGGACUCAGCUACAGUUUGCCUCCCAAAAUCCAAGGUCACCACUGCACCACUGAACUAUGUCCCCCAGGUUUACCAUCAUAGAGAAUGGACAAGAGGUGGUCCCACAUAUGCAUGCCAACAGAGUCUGGCAUUAUAGGUUUGUUGUAUUGGAUCUGUGAUUUUUUGGGGGGAGAUAGUGUUCUUAAAGAGGCAAUCAAAUUAAAAACAAGACCAUCCAGUAGACUCUAAUUCAAAAUGACUAUGCCCUUUCAAAAGGGGAGUUUUGUGGCUAGGGUAUUUUUUAGUGGUGGAGAGCUUGCCCAGCAUACAAGGCCCUAUGUUUGAUCCUCAGCACCAUAAAAGGGGUAGGGGAGAUUUGAACCCAGAGUUGUGUGCACAGGACAUCCUGUGAACAUUAUGGCAGAGGGAGCAGGAGCUCCAUGGAUUGUCAGAGUGUACAGCAAAGUCUACAAGUAUAGGAAGGGCCUGGAACACAUUUUUCCUCAGGCUUUUAGUGGAGCCAGCCUGCCCUAAGCCAAUCUCUCUUCUCUCUGUAUAGUAACCACAGCAAACCAAGACAAAUGGAAAACACAGAGAACUGAAGAUAAGCACCGUUAGCAUUCCAGAUCAAUAACUUCCACUGGCUCCUUGUGAGCAAGAAGCCUCAGUAGGUAACUUCUGACAGGAGGAACAGGUGCCAACUUUUGCUCUGUUCACACA